rnacentral:rRNA from 1 species
UACGGGGGGAGCAAGCGUUGUUCGGAUUUACUGGGCGUAAAGGGCGCGUAGGCGGUCAGCACAAGUCAGUUGUGAAAUCUCCGAGCUUAACUCGGAACGGUCAACUGAUACUGUGCGACUAGAGUGCGGAAGGGGCAACUGGAAUUCUCGGUGUAGCGGUGAAAUGCGUAGAUAUCGAGAGGAACACCUGCGGCGAAGGCGGGUUGCUGGGCCGACACUGACGCUGAUGCGCGAAAGCGUGGGGAGCGAUCCGG